UCAUACGCUUCUGGGUAUCCGAGGUCCUAUAUGCGGAAAGUAGCUUUAAUAACCAACCUGACCCCACGAAAGCUGAGAAACAAACUGGGAUUAGAUACCCCACUAUGCUCAGCCGUAAACUUUAGGCAUCUAAAUACAAUGAGAUGCCCGCCAGGGUACUACGAGCAUCAGCUUGAAACCCAAAGGACCUGACGGUGUCUCAGACCCCCCUAGAGGAGCCUGUUCUAGAACCGAUAACCCCCGUCUAACCUCACCACUUCUAGCCAACCCAGCCUAUAUACCGCCGUCGUCAGCUUACCCUGUGAAGGGUACAAAGUAAGCAAAAUGGGCACAGCCCAGAACGUCAGGUCGAGGUGUAGCGCAUGAGGUGGGAAGAAAUGGGCUACAUUUUCUGCCACAGAAUAUUACGGAUAUGCACUGUGAAAUAGUGCUUGAAGGAGGAUUUAGUAGUAAAAGGGAAAUAGAGUGUCCCUUUGAACCCGGCUCUGAGACGCGUACACACCGCCCGUCACUCUCCCCCGUCAAAACGCAUCGAAGAUAAAUAACAUAAUAGCACUGACAAGGGGAGGCAAGUCGUAACAUGGUAAGUGUACCGGAAGGUGCACUUGGAUAAAACC
rnacentral:rRNA from 1 species